rfam:Oryza glumipatula chromosome 4, whole genome shotgun sequence.
AAUAAGUGCAGUUUUACACUAUUCAUGUCCAACGUUUGACCGUUCGUCUUAUUUGAAAAUUUUAUAUGAUUGGUAUUUUUAUUGUUAGUAGAUGAUAAAACAUGAAUAAUACUUUAUGUGUGACUAAUUUUUUAAAAUAUUUUCAUAUUUUUUUUAAAUAAGACGAACGGUCAAACGUUGGACACGGAUUCCCACGGCUGCACUUAUU